CUCCAGGUGUGACAGGUGUAGAUUUUAGGAGGUUCCCAACCCCUCAGGUGUGAAUUUCAGGUGUUCCCAACUCCCUCAGGUGUGAAUUUUGGGAGGUUCCCCAUCCCCAGGUGUGAAUUUUGGGGGUCUCCCCCUCCCCCACCGGUCGGCAGUGACUCCGCCCCUGAAGCUCCAGGUGCGACUCAGGUGAGACCAGCGAUGACAUCAUCAAUUAAUGAUCCUUUAAUGAACGAUCCAGGUAUGCCCCGCCCCCUGCGCUACAGGUACCGCCCGGAAAGGUGGGACAGGUGCGCCCAGGUGAGCCCCAGGUAAGCUCAGGUGUGCCCCAAGUGAGCUCAGGUAAGCUCAGGUGUGCCCCAGGUGUUCCCAGGUGAGCUCAGGUAAGCUCAGGUGUGUUGAGGUAAGCUCAGGUGUGCUCAGGUAAACUCAGGUGAGCUGUCCCCAUCCCAUCAUCCAAUGGAAACCCCCAGGUCCUGGGCAGGUCCCGCCCCAUCCAGGUGUGCACCCGGCCAGUCCCAGGUGCACCUGGAGCACCCCAAAAUCCACACGAGUCCGUCCUGGGCUCAGGUGAGACCUCACAGUCCUGGGGUCACACCUGGCCACAGGUGAACCCUGGGGGGGUCCCCCAGUUCCUCAUCCGCUGUUGGUGACAUCACAGCUCAGGUGUGGCCGUGCUGGGGCCUCUCACCUGGGGCUCAGGUGCUGCAGAUUUCAGGGUUCACACCUGGCUGGGAUCCCCUCACCUGUAGCUCAGGUGUCGCUGUCCAGGUGUUGCAGAUUUUGGGGUCCACACCUGAGGUGCCCUCACCUGGGCUUGUCCAGGUGCUGAAUCUUUUUGGGGUCCACACCUGUCCUGGAUCACAGGUACUGAGUCCUUCCACCUGAGGCUCAGGUGUUGCAGCCCAGGUGUUGCCGCUGCGCCCUUUUGGGGUACAAAACACAUUUUUGGGGUCCACACCUGUCUGGGCUCACAGGCGCCGAGUCCUUCCACCUGGGGCUUCAUCCACGGGGCUCAGGUGUUGCUGUUGUGCCUUUUUGGGGUAGAAAACACAUUUCUGGGGUCCACACCUGUCCGGGCUCACAGGUACCGAGUCCUUCCACCUGGGGCUUCAUCCACGGGGCUCAGGUGUUGCCGUUGUGCCGUUUUGGGGCAGAAAACACAUUUUUGGGGUCCACACCUGUCUGGGCUCACAGGCGCCGAGUCCUUCCACCUGGGGCUUCAUCCACGGGGCUCAGGUGUUGCUGUUGUGCCUUUUUGGGGUAGAAAACACAUUUCUGGGGUCCACACCUGCCUGGGCUUACAGGUACUGAGUCCUUCCACCUGGGGCUUCAUCCACAGGGCUCAGGUGUCGCCGCCGCGCCUUUUUGGGGCAGAAAACACAUUUUUGGGGUCCACACCUGUCUGGGCUCACAGGCGCCGAGUCCUUCCACCUGGGGCUUCAUCCACGGGGCUCAGGUGUUGCGGGGGGGGGGGGGGGGGGGGGGGGGGGGGGGGGGGGGGGGGGGGGGGGGGGGGGGGCACCUGUCGCGGCCGCGCCCGCCGGCGGCUCAGGUGUCGCGGUGCACGCGCCGGUGCUGCAGCAGGUUGGAGGGGUGCGCGAAGCCCUUGGCGCACACCCCGCACUUGUAGGGCGUCUCGCCCGUGUGCACCUUCUCGUGCACGGCCAGGUAGGCCAGGUCCUUGAAGAACUUGUGGCAGGGGGGGGGGGGGGGGGGGGGGGGGGGGGGGGGGGGGGGGGGGGGGGGGGGGGGGGGGGGGGGGGGGGGGGGGGGGGGGGGGGGGGGGGGG
rnacentral:lncRNA from 12 species